rnacentral:lncRNA from 1 species
GCUUAACAUCUCUUCCUAUUUCAAACAAUGGUUCAAUGAAUGUGCUUAUACGUUUUUCCUUGUGUGCAUGGAGGUUAAAAUGCAGAGUCACUGAGUGUGCAUUUUAAAAAUUUCAGUAGAAUCUGUCAAAUUGCCCUUACAGGUUGCUGCACCAAUAUAUAUUCCCACCAGCAGAGCAUGAAAUACCUAUUUUAUCCAUGGUCUUGCCAAUAUUUGAUAAUAUCAAAUUUGAUUAUUUAUUUAUUUGACACAGGGUCUUGCUCUGUCGCCCAGGCUGGAGUACAGUGGUGUGAUCACUGCUCACUGCAGCCUCAACCUUCCAGGUUCAAGUGAUCCUCCCACCUCAGCUUUCCAAGGAGCUGGGACUACAGGCCUGAGACCCCUUACUUCCACCUUGUGAGGACACAGUGAGAAGAUUCCCUCCAUUAGGAAGGUGGCCCUCAACCAGACACCAAAUCUGCUGUUGCCUUGAUCUUGGACUUCCCAGCUUCAGAACUAGUUUCACUCUAUCUCCCAGGCUGGAGUGCAGUCACAUGAUCUCGGCUCACUGCAAGCUCCACUUCCUGAGUUCAAGCGGUUCUCCUGCCUCUGCUUCCUGAGUAGCUGGGACUACAGGCACACACCACCAUGCCCAGCUAACUUCUGCUUUUUUGUAGAAACGGGAUUUCACCAUGUUGGCCAGGCUGGUCUCGAAUGCCUGACCUCAAGUACCUGCCUCGGCCUCCCAAAGCACUGGGAUUACAGGCGGUGGAGUACAGUGGCACAAUCAUGGCUCACUGCAGGUUCCACCUCCUGGUCUCAAGCAACUCUUCUGCCUCAGCCUCCCGAGUAGCUGGGACUAUAGGCUCAGGCUGGAUGUAUACCGUCAGCUCUCCUGGAUUUGAACUUCUCAGCCUCCAUAACUGUGUGAGUCAAUUCAUUAUAAUAAACAAAUCUCUCUCUCUAUCUCUAUUUCUCUACAUCUCUGUGUCCAUACAUCCUAUUGGGUCUGUCUCUCUGGAGAACCCUGAGUAA